GUUCAGGUAGCUCAGAAGGUAGAGCAAAAGACUGAAAAUCUUUGUGUCGACAGUUCAAAUCUGUCUCUGAACA
rnacentral:tRNA from 1 species